rnacentral:rRNA from 1 species
UUUUCAGCAGCCGCGGUAAUACGAAGGGGGCUAGCGUUGCUCGGAAUCACUGGGCGUAAAGGGUGCGUAGGCGGGUUUUUAAGUCAGGGGUGAAAUCCUGGAGCUCAACUCCAGAACUGCCUUUGAUACUGAAGAUCUUGAGUCCGGGAGAGGUGAGUGGAACUGCGAGUGUAGAGGUGAAAUUCGUAGAUAUUCGCAAGAACACCAGUGGCGAAGGCGGCUCACUGGCCCGGUACUGACGCUGAGGCACGAAAGCGUGGGGAGCAAACAGGAUUAGAAACCCGUGUAGUCC